rnacentral:tRNA from 6 species
GCCUUCUUAGUUCAGUGGUUUAGAAUUUGUCACUAGUAAUGACAGGGUCACUCGUUCGAUUCGGGUAGAAGGCA